GUCCCUGUAAGUGCAAUGGGUCAGUGUGUUUGGCUGUUAGCCAGAAGGUUGGUGGUUCGAGCCCACCCAGGGAUG